ACAGCUGGAUAGAGCGUGUGUUCAGCCAUUGCGGUAGCAUUGUGUACAUCAGCAUCCCCCGGUGCAAGUCCACAGGGCAGCCUAUAGGAUUCGCCUUUGUGGAGUUUGAGACUGUGGAACAGGCCCUGAAAGCCAUAGAGUCCAUGAGUGAGAUCCCACCCAGAACUACCAUGGAGUAUGAUGUCUCCGCUACUGCCCCCCCACGAGACUAGAAAACGGCCCAACUCACAUCUGAUGUUGCCGAGGGCUGUAAGAAGGAGACUCCUAAAGGCCCUCAGUUUGAGAGCGGGCUGAUUGUUUCCAUCGAUCAUUUAAAAAGGAAAUGGAAUGCAAAUGGAACACAACAUCAGAGUAACACUGAAACACCCCCUUCAGAUCGGGCACUCCCUCUGAAAUGAUGAGACACGUCAUAAAGCCCUGACCAUCCCCUGAACCGGUUUUUCACCCUACUCCCAUCUGGCCGCAGAUACAGAGCCCUGGACUGGAAAAAAGCGCACUUUAAGAAAAGUUUUGUACCCUCAGCCAUCACUGCACUUAACAAACUCUGGUGACAAUAAUCCAUCCCCUCCAUUCUUUGUGUUUAUGUUGUCUGCACUGUCCACUUUUGCUUGCACUGUGUUGGGGGGAGGGGAACUAAGGGAGGGGGUGUAUGGUGGG